GUGGGUGGUAAGGUCUCGGGAAAAUCUCCCUGGCCUGUGCGUGCGCGCAAAGAUGUACGCGGGGGCGAGGAGGUUCGGGGUGAGAGGAGUCUGCGUCGCCUGGGCAAAAACCGUCCGCUUUCGUUCUGGCGUUCUCCUUACACAUAUUUCAACGUCUCUGUGCAGAGAAGACUAGUUUGCACUUAUUUUAUUCAGUUGACUUCGUUCAGUCUCUGGCCCCUGGCCACGGAGGAUACAUGAAGAUACUCUUGGCGGUAACUGAAGAUCCUGUGAAGAAGAUCUCAGUGAUCAGGCACUGAAUACAAUGCAGUGUUUUUGCUAAUGUCUGCGGGUGUCCAAGUGCAAGUGGUACGAGAACUUUCCAAAUCUACAGUCAUGGUUAAAACUCCUGUUGGCAUUUCUGCACCUCAGACUGUACCUAUGCCUACAUAUAAAUGCACAUGACAUUAUAAUCUCAA